AGGAGAGGCGAAAAGGAUCAGAGGACCAAUAUGCGGCGUGUCCCCCACAGUAGACAGGAUGUUGAACCUGAAGGAGCUGUGUAGGAGCCUGCCCCUGGACCCAAUGACACCCAACCAGGGCUGGGACCCCAAUGUGCCACACGCACCUGUCAGGACGCACAACCUCACUCCAGAGGAGGAGAGGCUGGCCCUGAGGAGUGACCUGCGCUUCUGAGUUUGCCCGGGAGCUCAGGCACAUGGACACAUCUACAUGUACUGCUUCUGCCCCCUAAUACACAUUAGGGCCUACCCUAUAGAUCAGUAUCCCUGUCGUACACGCCAAGCUGCCUCCAUCAUGCUCAUCAUCAUGAAUAACCUGGACCCUGCAGUUGCCCAGUUUCCCAGGAGCUGGUUACCUAUGUGGGGAGUGGACAGGUUUUCUGUAACUGGGCCCAGCUGACAGUGCUGAAUGCAGGUCUGAUGAACUGAUGACGUUUUGGUGAUGUCAGAGCUGGGGGAGCAUGAGGGGGGGCACAGGCCAAAACUGCUGUCAUCGCUGGCAGUGUGGGGGUCAUUGUUGGGAAGGGGCCCCUCUGUAGACAGGUAGCUGCCAUCAAUAAGCUGUCUGAGGCAGGGAUGUUCUUCUGGGACUAUGGCGACACCUUCCUCCUGGAUACCCAGAGAGAAGGAGGUAGAGAAGGAGGGAGGUGGAGUGACUGAGUUCCACUACUCGUCCUACGUCCAAAACAUCAUGGGGUAAGUGAUAGGGUGAGGAGAUAGCUCAAGACAGAUAUAGCUCCUGAUGACUAGGGCCCAGUUUUUUAUUCUGAUCAGAUUAAACUUGUGGCCAUAACCCUUGACCCAUCCCUUCUCGAACCGUUGCACUGGAUCUGCACCUCCGGUGACCCCUGUGACUGAUGACAUCGCCACCACUGUCCUGGAGGAGAUCAGUGCCAACGUGACUGAGCCAGAAUCCUCUACUCAGACCAGAAAGGCCGUGUGUGUAUUGCCUUGGCCAUCAAUCAAGCUAUUGCUGAUAGGAGAGUUUUGGUAAGAGCCCAAUCAGCCUUACCAAUAUCUCUAUAUUAUGGGUGCUUGUAUGAGUUAUAUUAUGAGG